rnacentral:rRNA from 1 species
GACGAACGCUGGCGGCGUGCUUAACACAUGCAAGUCGAACGAUGAAGCCUAGCUUGCCAGGUGGACUAGUGGCGAACGGGUGAGUAAUACGUGAGUGACCUACCUUUGACUCUGGGAUAAGCCUGGGAAACUGGGUCUAAUACCGGAUACGACCAAUCUCCGCAUGGGGUGUUGGUGGAAAGCGUUAUGGAGUGGUUUUAGAUGGGCUCACGGCCUAUCAGCUUGUUGGUGAGGUAAUGGCUUACCAAGGCGACGACGGGUAGCCGGCCUGAGAGGGUGACCGGCCACACUGGGACUGAGACACGGCCCAGACUCCUACGGGAGGCAGCAGUGGGGAAUAUUGCACAAUGGGCGCAAGCCUGAUGCAGCGACGCCGCGUGAGGGAUGACGGCCUUCGGGUUGUAAACCUCUGUUAGCAUCGAAGAAGCGAA